rnacentral:rRNA from 1 species
UGGGGAAUUUUACACAAUGGGGGAAACCCUGAUGUAGCAACGCCGCGUGGAGGAUGACGGAUUUAGGUCUGUAAACUCCUUUUAUAAGGGAAGAAAUUUGACGGUACCUUAUGAAUAAGCACCGGCUAACUCCGUGCCAGCAGCCGCGGUAAUACGGGGGGUGCAAGCGUUACUCGGAAUCACUGGGCGUAAAGGGAGCGUAGGCGUUUUAUUAAGUCUUGAGUGAAAGCUCGCAGCUCAACUGCGGAACUGCUCAGGAAACUGAUAGAAUUGGGUAUGGAAGAGGUAGGUGGAAUUUUCGGUGUAGGGGUAAAUCCGUAGAUAUCGGAAGGAAUACCAGAAGCGAAGGCGACCUACUGGGACAUUACUGACGCUGAGGCUCGAAAGCGUGGGGAGCAAACA